AUGAAUGAAAAGAUCCGAGCCAAGCGUGUGCAACGCCGCAAAAGCAUGUCGGUUAUUGAGAAGGGCCAGUCAAGUGCUCUAAGGAAGGCCAGUUAUGCUAAAAGGAAAAACACCCCAUGCAAAGAAUCCCUUGCACUCCCUCGUCCAAACUCUACCUCUAAAUGUCCCGCAUCCAGCUGUCGUGCAAUACCCCUCGGAUGGGGCACCGAAGAUGAUUCAUCAGAUGGCGACAAUCCACCGGUAGUGCCAAAUUACGGUGCUAGCUCCAAUGAUGACAACAAUGUGUUCCGAGACCCCCUCAUGGGCGAUGAACCGAUACCAUCCGACUUGAUGGAUCAGGAGUAG
rnacentral:rRNA from 1 species